AUACGGAGGGUCCGAGCGUUAUCCGGAAUCAUUGGGUUUAAAGGGUCCGUAGGCGGGAAUCUAAGUCAGUGGUGAAAUCUUGCGGCUCAACUGUAUAAUUGCCAUUGAUACUGGAUUUCUUGAAUUAGUGUGAAGUGGUUAGAAUGUGUAGUGUAGCGGUGAAAUGCAUAGAUAUUACACAGAAUACCAAUUGCGAAGGCAGAUCACUAACACUAUAUUGACGCUAAGGGACGAAAGCGUGGGUAGCGAACAGGAUUAGAAACCCCUGUAGUCC
rnacentral:rRNA from 1 species